UUUUCCUGAAAAACGAUUAUGUUGCAACUGUAUUACAAAUGCACUUUUCACUCUAUACUUAGUUGUUAUCAAGAAUAUUUCAGGUUAUUCUAACCAGUUGAAUACAAUUUUAUCUUUGCCAGACUAACGACUGGUUUUACAAACAAAAUAUAUUAUGCUAUUACUAAGGUAUUUAAGCCAAUUAUAAAAGACGAUGCAUGCUUACUUUUAAUAUCAGUAUUGGUAGACUAAAAUAAAAAGAUGUCGUUUUUUGUGGUGUUCAUAACUAUUUUGACUCUCCACCAGACUUUCACAGCAGCGCAAAUUGAAGGCAAUUCGUCUUCAAAUAAUCAAAACGCCUCGGGGAAUAUUAUUACGGGCUCAACUGUUGACGGAAAUGCACUUGUUGGCAAUACAAUAACCACUUCUACACAAAGACCAUGCGGCAUAUUACAACAAUUUGCAGCAAUAUUCCUGCCGGGCGUUUGCUAAAGUACCAAAAUACUCUAGUUAAGAAUAUAAUAUAACUUAUUGAAAGAUGACUUACUGUUGAUUAUUUGAAGAAUACUAAUGAAUAUAAAAAUAAAAUUCCAACAUCGUAACUGAGAACGUCCUCUUUUAUGGAAAUUCUCAUUAAAAAUAACUGAGUACCUUAUGAAUGACAUGAAUUUGCACACAUCUGUGUUGCUCUCAAAGUUUAUUCAGGAGACUAGCGUUCCGAGGGUCCUACUUGUCGCACCCGGAUAAAGACUAACUUAUAAUAUAUACUCCAGAAUAAAGUAGCCUAUUGCCCUAAUUCUAUUGGUAAAAUAUUUAUUUUAAUUUAAACUAACAAUUCUAAUUCUAGCUGUUUUCC